UACUGAAUUAUCGAUAACAAGAAGCAAAAAGGUUACAUGCUAAUUUAUUUAUGUAUUAAAUUUUACAAUUUAAUCGUGUAUCUUCAGUGGCUGAGUUGGAAACGGUGUAGUUAACGUAAUGGAAUCGAUUACCUUUGGAGUUUUGACUAUUAGCGACACAUGUUGGCAGGAGCCGGCGAAGGAUACAAGUGGUCCUAUUUUGAGACAACUGAUCACUGAAACCUUUGCUAAUACCCAGGUGAUUGGAAACAUAGUUCCGGACGAAAAGGAUCUCAUACAGCAAGAGCUACGUAAGUGGAUCGAUCGGGAGGAGUUGCGAGUGAUUCUGACUACCGGAGGAACGGGAUUUGCACCACGGGAUGUGACCCCAGAGGCCACGAGGCAGCUACUAGAAAAGGAAUGCCCACAACUCUCUAUGUAUAUUACACUGGAGUCCAUCAAACAAACCCAAUAUGCGGCUCUUUCCCGCGGACUAUGUGGCAUUGCAGGAAAUACUCUCAUCUUAAACCUUCCUGGUAGCGAAAAGGCCGUAAAAGAGUGUUUCCAGACCAUUAGGGAACUUUUGCCCCAUGCUGUUCACCUUAUAGGUGACGAUGUGUCCCUGGUACGGAAAACACAUGCGGAGGUUCAAGGAUCCGCCCAAAAGGGCCACAUUUGUCCCCACAAAACGGGAACUGGCACAUAUUCCGAUCGAAAUUCGCCCUUUCCAAUGCUGGCCGUUCAAGAGGUGCUUUCAAUUAUCUUUAACACCGUACAGAAGACCGCCAAUCUGGACAAAAUUCUGUUGGAAAUGAGUGCGCCGGUUAACAUUCCGCCCUUUAGGGCUUCCAUUAAGGAUGGCUAUGCCAUGAAGUCCACUGGAUUUUCUGGCAGUAAGCGUGUUUUAGGAUGCAUAGCCGCCGGAGAUUCACCUAAUACUUUGCCGCUGGCAGAGGAUGAGUGCUACAAAAUUAACACAGGGGCACCACUACCCCUGGAGGCAGAUUGCGUAGUGCAAGUGGAGGACACCAAGUUGCUGCAGUUAGAUAAGAACGGCCAGGAAAGCCUUGUGGACAUUAUGGUGGAGCCACAAGCUGGAUUAGAUGUUAGGCCUGUGGGCUACGAUCUAAGCACCAAUGAUCGAAUUUUUCCUGCUCUAGAUCCUUCUCCCGUGGUGGUCAAAUCACUGCUGGCUUCCGUGGGCAAUAGGUUGGUACUAUCCAAGCCUAAGGUGGCUAUAGUGUCCACUGGAAGUGAGCUUUGUUCACCGCGCGAUCAGCUUACUCCGGGAAAGAUCUUUGACUCAAAUACCACCAUGUUGACGGAGCUUCUGGUUUACUUCGGUUUUAACUCUCUUCGAGGUGGUGGACUUUGUCAUUUGCAGCGGUGGUGUUUCAAUGGGCGAUAAGGAUUUCAUAAAGUCCGUGUUGGAAGACCUUCAAUUUACGAUUCACUGCGGCCGAGUAAACAUAAAGCCAGGCAAGCCCAUGACCUUUGCAAGUCGGAAUAAUAAGUACUUCUUUGGUCUACCCGGAAACCCAGUGUCAGCAUUCGUUACUUUUCAUCUGUUCGC
rnacentral:misc_RNA from 1 species